rnacentral:rRNA from 1 species
CGGCGGACGGCUGAGUAACGCGUAGGAACCUACCCCAAACUGAGGGAUAAGCACCAGAAAUGGUGUCUAAUACCGCAUGUGCUCCACGGAGUAAAGCUUCGGCGGUUUGGGAAGGGCCUGCGUCCGAUUAGCUUGUUGGUGAGGUAAUGGCUCACCAAGGCGACGAUCGGUAGCUGGUCUGAGAGGAUGAUCAGCCAGACUGGGACUGAGAACGGCCCAG